GCCGGUGUAGCAUAGGCUGGUUAUUGCGCCAGACUCAUACUCUGGAGGUCGAGGGCUCAAAUCCCUCCAUCGGCA
rnacentral:tRNA from 1 species